GCGUCGGUGGUAUAACGGUUAGCAUAGCUGCCUUCCAAGCAGUUGACCCGGGUUUGACUCCCGGCCGACGCA
rnacentral:tRNA from 1 species